UGAAAAGCUGAGAAGGAAAUUAGUAAAUAGCAUUUUGUAUUCAGAGAGUGAGUGGUUGGUGUGAACUCAUUACAAUGGUUGUUGAAUCUAUUCUGGAGCUGUUAAUCGGAUAAUGAUUAACCGUAAACCUACGUUACAGGACUGAGAGGAUUAUAUUUAUAUAUAAUCAAUUAGGGUGGCAACGCGGAUCAAGACUUUCGUCCCUUUU
rnacentral:ncRNA from 1 species